UACGUAGGGGGCUAGCGUUGUCCGGAAUCAUUGGGCGUAAAGAGCGUGUAGGCGGCUCGGUAAGUCCGCUGUGAAAGUCGGGGGGCUCAACCCUCGAAUGCCGGUGGAUACUGUCGAGCUAGAGUGCGGAAGAGGCGAGUGGAAUUCCUGGUGUAGCGGUGAAAUGCGCAGAUAUCAGGAGGAACACCGAUUGCGAAGGCAGCUCGCUGGGACGUUUACUGACGCUGAGACGCGAAAAGCUGGGGAGCAAACAGG
rnacentral:rRNA from 1 species